rnacentral:rRNA from 1 species
CCUACGGGAGGCAGCAGUAGGGAAUAUUGCUCAAUGGGGGAAACCCUGAAGCAGCAACGCCGCGUGGAGGAUGAAGGUUUUCGGAUUGUAAACUCCUUUUGUUAGAGAAGAUAAUGACGGUAUCUAACGAAUAAGCACCGGCUAACUCCGUGCCAGCAGCCGCGGUAAUACGGAGGGUGCAAGCGUUACUCGGAAUCACUGGGCGUAAAGAGCGCGUAGGCGGGAUAGCAAGUCAGAUGUGAAAUCCUAGGGCUUAACCAUAGGACUGCAUUUGAAAAUGUUAUUCUAGAGUAUGGGAGAGGUAGGUGGAAUUCUUGGUGUAGGGGUAAAAUCCGUAGAGAUCAAGAGGAAUACUCAUUGCGAAGGCGACCUGCUAGAACAUAACUGACGCUGAUGCGCGAAAGCGUGGGGAGCAAACAGGAUUAGAUACCCCAGUAGUC